GAGAGAGAGAGAGAGUACAGAGCAGUUACGUGGAUCAGAGGAAGGAGCUGAAUGGUACAUUGCUGUUGCAGAACAAAAUGCAAAAGCAAAGACAGUAAUAAAUAAAUCAUAGCAAGCCUACCAACUGUGCAACGAAUAAAGAUUAGAAUAUUGCUAUUUCACAUCAAGAUAGAUAUAGCAUGCUUGACCCUGUGUUCUUUCUUUUUAACAUCAUGGUUUGUUAUUCUCUGUUUUUUUAACCUUUAUAUUUUCAUCGUUCCUCAGCUAUCCAGCCUAUUCUAGGUGCAGUUAGGAUGUAGUUGUAUUAGUACGUAGAGUAUUCUAUUCUAUCUUGCUAAUCGACCGCUAUUAGAUAGAUAGAUUCGCCUCGAGGGUUGUGCAAUAAUGCUUGUUCUCUCUUUCCCACUAUGCGCUAACUCGAAAUCUCAUAGAAUAGACAGAUUGAAU
rnacentral:misc_RNA from 1 species